AUGCGGCACCGGAACCUGGUGCGCGUGCUCACCACGUGCAGCCAGCCGAACUUCCACGCGAUCGUGCUCCCGCUGAUGACCAAGGGUAGCCUCGAGAGCCACCUCUACCCGCGUGACGGCGGCCCCAGACAUGCCAUGGACCUUGCAUGGCUGGUUGCCAUCGCCGGCAACAUAGCCGAGGGGCUCACCUACCUGCAUCACUACGCCCCCGUCCGCAUCGUACACUGCGACCUUAAGCCCAGCAACGUGCUCCUCGACGACGACAUGACAGCCGUUGUGGGUGACUUCGGCAUCGCGCGGCUGGUCAAGCACAUGGGCGACGACGACAACACAUGCUCUACUAAUCCCUGCAACUCCACUGCCGGAUUGUUGCAAGGCUCCGUGGGCUACAUCGCGCCAGGUAAUUUACAACACAAUUGA
rnacentral:rRNA from 1 species